rnacentral:rRNA from 1 species
GACGAACCGUGCGAACGUUGUUCGGAUUCACUGGGCUUAAAGGGUGCGUAGGCGGGCUUGCAAGUCGGGGGUGAAAUCCUCCGGCUCAACCGGAGAACAGCCUUUGAUACUGCGAGCCUCGAGGAAGGUAGGGGCAUGUGGAACUUCCGGUGGAGCGGUGAAAUGCGUAGAUAUCGGAAGGAACGCCGGUGGCGAAAGCGACGUGCUGGACCUUUUCUGACGCUGAGGCACGAAAGCCAGGGGAGCAAACGGG